rnacentral:rRNA from 1 species
CCUACGGGGUGCAGCAGUGGGGAAUAUUGGACAAUGGGCGAAAGCCUGAUCCAGCCAUGCCGCGUGUGUGAAGAAGGCCUUCGGGUUGUAAAGCACUUUCAGUGGGGAAGAAAGCCUUGGGGCUAAUACCCUCGAGGAAGGACAUCACCCACAGAAGAAGCACCGGCUAACUCCGUGCACAGCAGCCGCGGUAAUACGGAGGGUGCGAGCGUUAAUCGGAAUUACUGGGCGUAAAGCGCGCGUAGGCGGUCUGAUAAGCCGGUUGUGAAAGCCCCGGGCUCAACCUGGGAACGGCAUCCGGAACUGUCAGGCUAGAGUGCAGGAGAGGAAGGGAGAAUUCCCGGUGUAGCGGUGAAAUGCGUAGAGAUCGGGAGGAAUACCAGUGGCGAAGGCGGCCUUCUGGACUGGCACUGACGCUGAGGUGCGAAAGCGUGGGUAGCAAACAGGAUUAGAUACCCUGGUAGUC